UACGUAGGUGGCAAGCGUUGUCCGGAUUUACUGGGCGUAAAGAGCGCGCAGGCGGUUUGGCAAGUCGGGCAUGAAAUCUCUCGGCUCAACCGGGAGAGGUUGUCCGAUACUGCUGGACUUGAGGGCAGUAGAGGGUGGUGGAAUUCCGGGUGUAGUGGUGAAAUGCGUAGAUAUCCGGAGGAACACCAGUGGCGAAAGCGGCCACCUGGACUGUACCUGACGCUCAAACGCGAAAGCUAGGGGAGCGAACGGG
rnacentral:rRNA from 1 species